CCAAUACUGGCUGCAUAAGGGAUACAGAUCAGGAAUCCUUUCCACACCUUCAGCUGAUACUGGGCCUCUGAUUGGCUGUCUGCAGCUGUCAUCUGGUGCCUGCAGUUGCUCAAAGGUCAAACAGAGAGAGGGUCUCCAGGUCUCCAAACAGACUCUCCAGGAUGGCGUUGGCGAUAGGGAGCAUCAUGGCUGUUGUGGCGGUGUUACUGAGCCACAUGGACAAGAAGGCUGAGUUUCCUCACCAGGCUGGUUUCACUCCAACAAUAGUAAGGACCUUCAGAGCUAUUCUGCGGUGAAGCCCCCACUCCUCGAUGGAUGAGGCCAUCACCAAACCGCUGAGGAAGAGAAAGUUUGUUUCGAGGAAGUACUGAGGGCAGACUUUCUUGGAUGGAAGGAUUCCCAGUGUUGGGAAGAGGCAGACUGGAAGCAUGGCGGUGACGGCCAGAGGGAGGGCCUCUGUGCACCAAAACAUAGCCAUCAGCACCACCACAUAAAGACAUUUUCCCUCCUAAAAGAUAAGCAACAUGGGGUUGUUAAUCAUCAGGCAAUAUCAAAAGAGUGAAAUAAAGUGUCACAGAAAUGAAACAAAUACAAAUUACACACAUAAUAUGUUUUUUCUUUACAAGUAAGCAGUUAUACAAUUUGCUCUCAGGAACAUCAGUGAUGCAAGGUUAGUUUUCAAAAAAUAAAAUCAGUGUGUGUGAGUGGAGUGAAAAAGCAAACAGGUGCAACAUGCAAAAGAUAUUUCCUAAAGCUAAUAAAAUUAUAAUUUAUGAUAUCACAGUUUCCAGUCUUAAAAGCCUCCGGUUGUCAACAUUUGGAUG